AACAGAACAAAAAUGGAGAGAAGCAAAGACAGAGCCAUUAAAUAUCGAGGCCUAAAGAGCAUGAUCAGUCAGAACUGAGUUAAGAAGCAAGAAAGAUAACUGGCAACAGUGAUGAAGGAGGAGGUGGGGAUCCCGCGGCAUACUGAAGGAGGAGAGCCCCAGGCAGAGGGAACGAUCAUCAGGACUCUGGACAAUUAGGACAGAGGGCACUGCACUGCUUCCCACCCCCACCUCACGCCAUGCCGCUGCUAUUUGAGCCCACUUCAGAGAGUAACUUGUAGAUGACUGAAUGACUGCUCAGAACCAGAGCAGCUUGAAAGAGCAGAGAAAGAACAUCUGUCAGAGCCUCACCAAGCACCAUGACCCUGCCCAGUGAACUCAGUGAUGCUUCUAGGACUCGGAGCUUCUCAUUCUCAUCUCAGCAGUUUCUGACAUGGAUGAAGUAUACUCAUGGACAUCAGCCCUCAGACUCUGCUCGUAGUAACCCUCUGAUCUGAAAAGUAAAGCAAGAAUCCUGGGGAUGGUAGAAAAAAUUGGGGUGCUAUGUGCAUCUCCCCAGUGUUCCACAGUCUGGAAGAGUGGCAUUAUAGUUCUUUAACCUGGUGAUAAAGAGAAGACAUGGGAAGCUAAGUCAAAUCUUGACCACCUAAGACAUAUUUUUAGUGAGUGGUUCCAUCUACUAAAAAAAACAUGUGCCCUAGGGAUUGCAUAGGACAAAGGGAUUCAGAAGCAGGUGGAGCUAAGGAAAAUCCAGGAAGAGAGAAGAAGAGGAAAUGGAGACACCCCCUCCCCAGGGUUCUGCC
ensembl:lincRNA 0610006L08Rik RIKEN cDNA 0610006L08 gene